GCAUAUCUCUCAUGGACAGCUUUUACUCUUUGGAGGAGAAAUUAGGAGAGAAAAUCUUUUCUGGAUAUUAUGGAUUGAAUUGUAUCCUCCCCACUCGCUCCAAAUUUCUGUGUUGAUAUCUUAACAGCCCCGACUCCAGCACCUCUGAAUGGGACCUUACAUGCAAAUACCAUUGUUGGCAGUUAAGAUCAGGUCACACUGCCCCAUGAGGAUGGGCUCCUAAUCCAACAUGACUGAUGAUCUUAUAAAAAAAACACCGUGUGAAGAGACAGAGACACACAGAGAGAAGAAUACUGCCUACACAGAAGGUGUGGAUCAGAUUCUGCCUUGGAGCCCUCAGGAGGAACCUGCAGGUCUCAGACUUCUAGACUCCAGAACUGAGUGCAUUGUCCAUUGUUUAAGCCAUCAAGUUCGUAGUACUUUGUAACAGCUGCCCAGCAAACUAAUACAGACUUGAGUAUUGGUCAAUGAGGAGGCCUGUGGCCAGGAACAACCUGUAACAUUGAACAGUGGACAUUAUUAACUCUCCAAGCAACAUGCUCCGUGCCAGGUGACCCUGGUGACCCUGGUGAUGAAACUGAACCUGACAGAAUGACAAGAUGGAAAACCCAUCUCAAAAAAGAGAACAAGAGGCAGUACUGACUGCCAGGGACCUAAUCAGUGUGGAUAUAAAUGUCAGAACUAGAGUUCAGAAUAACAAUUAUGAAGAUACUAAGUUGGGCUUGAAAACAGCAGAGAGGACGUGAGAUAAUCCCUUUUUGGAGAAAUAAAAGAACUACAAUCUCAUCAAGUCAAAAAUCAAAAAGACUAUUAAUGAGAUGCAAUCAAAUGGAGGCUCUAACUGUUAGGAUAAAUGAAGAAGAACAGAGAAUCAGUGAUAUAAAGGACAAAAUGAUGGAGAAUAAAGAACCUGAGAAAAAGAGAGAGAAACAACUACUGGAUCACAAGGGGAGAAUCUGAGAGAUAACCUUGACCAUAAAGCAAAAGCACAUUAGAAUAAUUGGGGUCUCAGAAGAAGAGGAAAGAGAUGAGGGGCAGAAGGUAUAUUGGAGCAAAUUAAAUCAGAGAACUUCCCUAAUAUGGGGAAGGAAGCAGGUGUUCAAGUCCAGGAGGCACAGAGAAACCCCCGCAAAUCAUUAAAACUAGGUCAGCACCUUGACGUUUAAUAGUGAAGCUUGCAAAUCUCAGAACCAAAAAGAAAAUCCUGAAAGCAGCUCAGGACAAGUCUAUAAUCUACGUAGAAACAUUAGACUGGCCGCAGACCUAUCCCCAGACACCUGGCAGGCCAGAAAGGACUGUCAUGAUAUAUUCAGGGUGCUAAAUGAGAAAAAUACGCAGCCAAGAAUACUUUGUCUAGCAGGGUUGUCAUUCAAAAUAGAAGGAGAGAGAAAGGGCUUCCAGGACCAACAGAAUCUAAGAGAGUUUGUGAUCAUGAUACUAGCCCUGCAAGACACAUUAAAGGGGAUCCCUUAAGUGAUCCCAAGAGAGCCCAAACCAACACAGAUCAGAAAGGAACAGAGACAAUCCACAGAAACAGUGACUUUACAGGCAAUCCAAUUCUCUAAAUUUCUCCUUUUGAUUGUUACUCUGAAUGUAAGUGGGCUCAAUGCCCCAGUCAAAAGACACAGCGUAUCAGAUUAGAUUAACAAGCAAGACCCAUCAAUAUGCUGUCUGUAAGAGACUCAUUUUAGACCCAAAAACACCUCUGGGUGGAAAAUGAGGGCAUGGCAAACCAUUUGUUAUGCUAAUUGGCAUCAAAAGAACACUGGGGUGGCAGUCCUUAUAUCAGACAGAUUAGAUUUUAAACCAAAGACAGUAAUAAGAGAUCAUACUUAAAGGUCUAUCCAGCAAGAAGAUCUAACAAUUGUAAAUAUGUAUGCCCCUAACAUGGGAGCAGCCAAUUAAAUAAACCAACUAAAAACAAAACUCAACACAUCGACAAUAAUACAGCAAUAGUAGGAGACCUUAACACCCCACUCACUGCAAUAGUAGACUUAACACCCCACUCUUCAUCUAAGCAGAAGAUCAACAAGGAAAUAAGGGCUUUGAAUGAUGCACUGGACCAGAUGGACCUCACAGAUAUAUUCAGAGCAUUCCAUCCAAAAGCAACAGAAUACACGUUUUUCACAAGU